CCUACGGGAGGCAGCAGUGGGGAAUAUUGCACAAUGGGGGAAACCCUGAUGCAGCGACGCCGCGUGAGUGAAGAAGUAAUUCGUUAUGUAAAGCUCUAUCAGCAGGGGAGAAAAUGACGGUACCUGAGUAAGAAGCACCGGCUAAGUACGUGCCAGCAGCCGCGGGAAUACGCAGGGGGCAAGCGUUAUCCGGAUUUACUGGGUGUAAAGGGAGUGUAGACGGCAGUGCAAGUCUGGAGGGAAAGGCGGGGGCUCGACCCCCGGACUGCUCUGGAAACUGUACGGCUGGAGUGCAGGAGAGGUAAGUGGAAUUCCUGGUGUAGCGGUGAAAUGCGUAGAUAUUAGGAGGAACACCAGUGGCGAAGGCGGCUUGCUGGACUGUAACUGACGUUGAGGCUCGAAAGCGUGGGGAGCAAACAGGAUUAGAUACCCGGGUAGUC
rnacentral:rRNA from 1 species